CUUCCAAAACAGGAUUAGAAAUGAUGGAGAGGGAAGGAACCGCUCGUCUUUCAGCGGGCCGCAAGGAGAGACCGGGCUACCCAGAGAAUAUCUGAACAGCAUCAACCCAGUGAGAUGUUACAUUUCAAACGCAACCGUGAAGGCACGGGGGAAAAGGGUGAUCGUUAGACUUCAGAGGAGCAUAUCAGAUAAGAUCAGCGAGAAAGAGAGGACAAAUUGUGAACGACAAGGAUUUUUAUAAUUCUGCUCAAGAACAAACAUAUUUCACAGAAUGUUCCAGUACCUUUACUAUGCAAGGAGCAUCCUAUUAGGCUGAGAUUUCCACAUGAUAAAUCAAGACCUCUAGAGACCUAAAAUUGGUUGCAGGGACAAAACCCAUUUCGCUCUAAAAGGUCUGGCCUAUUUGGGGAAGUUGAAGGCUUUUAAGGGGGCUGGGGCUAGAUCUCACCAUGUACCCGUCUUCAGUUCAGUGGAUGGCCGUUAGCGGGGCUAAGCCUGGUAAAAGGAUUCUGUAAGCUCCCUCUGGUCAAAGCCUCCGCGCUGGGUUUACAAGAUCUCUCCAUGUCUCCCCCUCCCUCUCACAGGACUGUUAGUGAGGGUCACCUCUUCCCUCCAUUUAUUAGCUUCAAUGGGUCUCGAGACAGAAGAUUCCGGAAAGAUUUGUUUUUGGAAGAGACGGUAUUGUAAGCUAUCUGAGUAGAUUUAAGGUGAGCUACGCCGUAAGUGUUGACGGGCAGGCAUUUUACUGUACAUACAGUGCCUUAAGAAAGCAUUCAGAUCCCUUGACGUCUUCCACAUUUUGUUAGGUUGGAUGGGGAGCGUCGCUUCACAGCUAUUUUCAGGUCUCUCCAGAGAUGUUCGAUCCGGGCUCUGGCUGGGCCACUCAAGGACAUUCAGAGCCUUGUCCCGAUGCCACUCCUGUGUUGUCUUGGCUGUGUGCUUCGGGUCGUUGUCCUGUUGGAAGGUGAACCUUCACCACAGCAUGAGGUCCUGAGCGCUCUGGAGCAGGUUUCGUCAAGCAUCGCUCUGUACUGUCCUCCGUUCAUCUUUGCCUCGAUACUGACUAGUCUCACAGUCCCUGAAAAACAUCCCCACAGCAUGAUGCUGCUACCACUAAGUUUAACCGUAGGGAUGAUGCCAGGUUUCCUCCAGAUGUGACGCUUUGCAUUUAGACCAAAGAGUUCAAUCUUGGUUUCAUCAUACCAGAGAAUCUUUUUUCUCAUGGUCAGAGAGUCUUUAGGUGCUUUUUGGCAAACUCCAAGCGGGCUGUCAUGUGCCUUUUACUGAGGAGUGGCUUACGUCUGGCCACUUUACCAUAAAGGCCUGAUUCGUGGAGUGCUGCAGAGAUGGUUGUCCUUCUGGAAGGUUCUCCUAUUGCCACAGAGUAACUCUGGAGCUCUGUCAGAGUGACCGUCGGGUUCUUGGUCACCUCCCUGACGAAGGCCCUUCUCGCCCGACUGCUCAGUUUGGCCGGGCGGCCAGCUUUAGGAAGAUUCUUGGUGAUUCCAAACUUCUUCCAUUUAAAAAUGGAAGCCACUGUGUUCUUGGGGACCUUCAAUGCUGCAGAAAUGUUUUGGUACCCUUGCCCAGAUCUGUGCCUUGAAACAAUCCUGUCUCGGAGCUCUACAGACAAUUCCUUCUAACUCAUGGCUUGGUUUAUGCUCUGACAUGCAUUGUCAACUGUGGGACCUUAUAUAGACAGGUGUGUGCCUUUCCAAAUCAUGUCCAAAUGAAUUUACCACAGGUGGACUCCAAUCAAGUUGUAGAGACAUCAAGGAUGAUCAAUGGAAACAGGAUUCAUCUGAACUCAAUUUCGAGUCUCAUAUCAAAGGAUCUGAAUGCUUACGUAAAUAAGGUAUGUUUAUUUUUAAUACAUUUGCAAAAAUGUCGAAAACACAUUCUGCUUUGUCAUUA
rnacentral:lncRNA from 1 species